GGUUCAUUCAAAUUUCUGCCCUAUCAACUUUCGAUGGUAAGGUAUUGGCUUACCAUGGUUUCAACGGGUAACGGGGAAUUAGGGUUCGACUCCGGAGAGGGAGCCUGAGAAACGGCUACCACAUCCAAGGAAGGCAGCAGGCGCGCAAAUUACCCAAUCCCGACCGGGAGGUAGUGACAAUAAAUACUAAUACAGGGCUCUUUUGGGUCUUGUAAUUGGAAUGAGUACAAUUUAAACCCCUUAACGAGGAACAAUUGGAGGGCAAGUCUGGUGCCAGCAGCCCGGGUAAUUCCAGCUCCAAUAGCGUAUAUUAAAGUUGUUGCAGUUAAAAAGCUCGUAGUUG
rnacentral:rRNA from 1 species